rnacentral:rRNA from 1 species
GGGCCCGCACAAGCGGUGGAUUAUGUGGUUUAAUUCGAAGCAACGCGCAGAACCUUACCUAGGCUUGAAAUCCUCAGAAUUCGACGUAAUGGUCGAAGUGCCCGCAAGGGAAUUGAGUGACAGGUGCUGCAUGGCUGUCGUCAGCUCGUGUUGUGAAAUGUUGGGUUAAGUCUCGCAACGAGCGCAACCCCUAUCUUUAGUUGCCAGCAUUAAGUUGGGCACUCUAGAGAGACUGCCCGGGUUAACCGGGAGGAAGGUGGGGAUGACGUCAAGUCCUCAUGGCCCUUAUGCCUAGGGCUACACACGUAAUACAAUGCUACGGACAAAGGGCAGCAAACUCGCGAGAGCUAGCAAAUCCCAUAAACCGUGGCUCAGUUCAGAUCGUAGGCUGCAACUCGCCUACGUGAAGGAGGAAUCGCUAG